ACGCACGCUGGCGGCGUGCUUAACCCAUGCAAGUCGAACGGAAAGGCCCUGCUUUUGUGGGGUGCUCGAGUGGCGAACGGGUGAGUAACACGUGAGUAACCUGCCCUCGACUUUGGGAUAACUUCAGGAAACUGGGGCUAAUACCGGAUAGGAGCUCCUGCUGCAUGGUGGGGGUUGGAAAGUUUCGGCGGUUGGGGAUGGACUCGCGGCUUAUCAGCUUGUUGGUGGGGUAGUGGCUUACCAAGGCUUUGACGGGUAGCCGGCCUGAGAGGGUGACCGGCCACAUUGGGACUGAGAUACGGCCCAGACUCCUACGGGAGGCAGCAGUGGGGAAUAUUGCACAAUGGGCGGAAGCCUGAUGCAGCAACGCCGCGUGCGGGAUGACGGCCUUCGGGUUGUAAACCGCUUUCGCCUGUGACGAAGCGUGAGUGACGGUAAUGGGUAAAGAAGCACCGGCUAACUACGUG
rnacentral:rRNA from 1 species